rnacentral:rRNA from 1 species
GAUGCGUAGCCGACCUGAGAGGGUGAUCGGCCACAUUGGGACUGAGACACGGCCCAGACUCCUACGGGAGGCAGCAGUGGGGAAUAUUGCACAAUGGGGGAAACCCUGAUGCAGCAACGCCGCGUGAGUGAUGAAGGCCUUCGGGUU